rnacentral:rRNA from 1 species
CCAGUAGCGGCGAGUGAAGCGGCAAGAGCUCAGAUUUGAAAUCGUGCUAAUUUUUUUGGCACGAGUUGUAGAGUGUAGGCGGGAGUCUUUGUGGAGCACGGUGUCCAAGUCCCUUGGAACAGGACGCCUGAGAGGGUGAGAGCCCCGUGGGGUGUCGUGCGAAGCUUUGAGGCCCUGCUGACGAGUCGAGUUGUUUGGGAAUGCAGCUCCAAGUGGGUGGUAAAUUCCAUCUAAGGCUAAAUACUGGCGAGAGACCGAUAGCGAACAAGUACUGUGAAGGAAAGAUGAAAAGCACUUUGAAAAGAGAGUGAAACAGCACGUGAAAUUGUUGAAAGGGAAGGGUAUUGGGCCCGACAUGGGGAGUGCGCACCGCUGUCUCUUGUAGGCGGCGCUCUGGGCGCUCUCUGGGCCAGCAUCGGUUCUUGCUGCGGGAGAAUGGGUGCCGGAAAGUGGCUCUUCGGAGUGUUAUAGCCGGCGCCAGAUACCGCGUGCGGGGACCGAGGACUGCGGCUUCUGUCUCGGAUGCUGGCACAACGGCGCAAUACCGCCCGUCUUGAACCACGGACCAAA